UACAGAGGUCUCAAGCGUUGUUCGGAUUCAUUGGGCGUAAAGGGUGCGUAGGCGGCGCGGUAAGUCGGGUGUGAAAUCUUGGAGCUUAACUCCGAAACUGCAUUCGAUACUGCCGUGCUUGAGGACUGGAGAGGAGACUGGAAUUUGACGGUGUAGCGGUGAAAUGCGCAGAUAUCAGGAGGAACACCGGUGGCGAAGGCGGAUCUCUGGGCCUGUUCUGACGCUGAGGCGCGAAAGCUAGGGGAGCGAACAGG
rnacentral:rRNA from 1 species